rnacentral:ribozyme from 1 species
ACCCGAGGAUCGCCAGGCUAAACUUUGCGACACAUGCCACGAUUUAGUAUUUCGUGUAGAGAGCAAGCUUAAAGCACGUCGAGGUGAAAGUGACGUUUAUGCAGCUCUUGAGAAUAUUUGUGAUACGAACCAUCCCACGCGCCUUUCAACUGGCUUUAAGAAGAACUG